rnacentral:lncRNA from 1 species
AUUCCCUGCAAGGCCAAAGGUGAGGGACAGAGCCAGGCAGCUAAAAAAAGUGAAUGCUGAUAGAAAUGAAAAGCUGAACCAAAGAAGGAGGCCAUUUGCAGAAGAAAACUACAACACCGAAAGUUUAAUUUGUUCUGCAGUGGCCUACAUAGAAGGCAAACUGCCACAGCAGAUUAGACGAGGGGUCCACUGGGGCUGCCGUGCCAGCACCGCCGCAGCUAUCUCUAAAAGCGCGAGAGAAAUGAUGCGUGUGACCUGGAGUGACAAACGGGAAGAGAGGCCACCUAAAGGUACCAUUUCAACUGGAGGCAGCUUAUGGCACCUUGUGGUUCCCUGAGAAGCUUCACUGGGGAGAAGAGGAAGUGACUGCAGCUCCAGUUGAAUCUCUCACCCCUCCCAUAACUGAGAUGGACCAAGAGGACUCAAGGGUCCACAACACUUCUCCUGCUGAGGAAGGGCUCAUCAAGACAGGAUUAAGCAAGGAACACCUUGGCUACAACAGCCAAAGCACCUUGGUGUGACAGCUAAAAAAAAAAAAAGAAAACCAAAAGCUCUUGCCUCCCUCUCCUGCCCCAUUAAAAAUUGUCUUCUCCACACCAAGAAGCAACUUCAGCAAACGAGAGGGAUUCGGGCAGUGGCAAAAAACCUUGCUACACGAGCGGCCCCAACCCAAAGGAAACAUUGGGUCGCGGCAGGUCUCCUCUUAGGACGCUGGAAGUUGCUGACUGGCAUUUUCACAUUACAAGGUGCUACAGUUCGAAGCUUUUCGCUUAGCUGAAUGCAAUACCUUUGCCGCCCUACCCCCACGCUCUUUUGAACACAGGACUAGCCCCCCAAAACCCCUCUUCUACACACGAGGGCUUUCUGUUCCCUUCAGAGGCCGAACGCAAUUGCGGGUGCAUAGCUGGGCGACCAAGAAGGUUUCGGCUUACGUCUAAGCCGGCACUCCAGAUUCAAUCAGAGGUAGCUGGUGGCACUUGAGCCGCAUCUCCGGGAACCUGCCCGCUUUAGUGGCAACCUGAGACAAGGCAAGGACGCGAACGUGGCCCUGCCGAUCGAUGCCCGCCCUGCGAGCGGCCAGAGGCCGGCAGCUCGGGGCGGGCAGGCGGCGGGAGCAGAGGAACCUCACACAAACAAAAGGUGCGCGCUGACGUUAAUCUCCGCUAACGAAGCCUGCACAGAGCCCGCGCUCUGAGUCACCCGGCGCAGC